UACAGAGGUCCCAAGCGUUGUUCGGAUUCACUGGGCGUAAAGGGUGCGUAGGUGGUCAGGUAAGUCGGAUGUGAAAUCUCCGAGCUCAACUCGGAAACUGCAUUGGAAACUACCUGGCUCGAGGGUUGGAGGGGGGACUGGAAUGCUUGGUGUAGCAGUGAAAUGCGUAGAUAUCAAGCGGAACACCAGUGGCGAAGGCAGCCCCCUGGGAUAACACUGACGCUCAUGCACGAAAGCGUGGGGAGCAAACAGG
rnacentral:rRNA from 1 species